GUUUCCGUAGUGUAGUGGUUAUCACGUCUGCUUUACACGCAGAAGGUCCACAGCUCGAACCUGGGCGGAAACA
rfam:Nematostella vectensis strain CH2 x CH6 NEMVEscaffold_1587_Cont37440, whole genome shotgun sequence.